CAACCUAGUACGAGAGGAACCGU
rnacentral:snRNA from 1 species